rnacentral:rRNA from 1 species
UAGAGUUGAUCUGGCUCAGGAUGAACGCUGGCGGCGUGCCUAACACAUGCAAGUCGAGCGAUUCUCUUGGAGAAGAGCGGCGGACGGGUGAGUAACGCGUGGGUAACUGCCCUGUACACACGGAUAACAUACCGAAAGGUAUGCUAAUACGGGAUAAUGUACUUUUGUCGCAUGGCAAAAGUAUCAAAGCUCCGGCGGUACAGGAUGGACCCGCGUCUGAUUAGCUAGUUGGAGAGGUAAUGGCUCACCAAGGCGACGAUCAGUAGCCGACCUGAGAGGGUGAUCGGCCACAUUGGAACUGAGACACGGUCCAAACUCCUACGGGAGGCAGCAGUGGGGAAUAUUGCACAAUGGGCGAAAGCCUGAUGCAGCAACGCCGCGUGAGCGAUGAAGGCCUUCGGGUCGUAAAGCUCUGUCCUCAAGGAAGAUAAUGACGGUACUUGAGGAGGAAGCCCCGGCUAACUACGUGCCAGCAGCCGCGGUAAUACGUAGGGGGCUAGCGUUAUCCGGAAUUACUGGGCGUAAACGGUGCGUAGGUGGUUUCUUAAGUCAGAGGUGAAAGGCUACGGCUCAACCGUAGUAAGCCUUUGAAACUGAGAAACUUGAGUGCAGGAGAGGAGAGUAGAAUUCCUAGUGUAGCGGUGAAAUGCGUAGAUAUUAGGAGGAAUACCAGUUGCGAAGGCGGCUCUCUGGACUGUAACUGACACUGAGGCACGAAAGCGUGGGGAGCAAACAGGAUUAGAUACCCUGGUAGUCCACGCCGUAAACGAUGAGUACUAGGUGUCGGGGGUUACCCCCCUCGGUGCCGCAGCUAACGCAUUAAGUACUCCGCCUGGGAAGUACGCUCGCAAGAGUGAAACUCAAAGGAAUUGACGG